rnacentral:sRNA from 1 species
UGACCGCCCUUUCCCUCCGGAAAGGCGCUAAGGCCAUACGGACAGCCGGGUCAAAUGCCGA